UCAAGAACGGUGAGGGGGAGGGGGAGGGAGAGAUAACGAAAGAACCAGAAACAAAGCUAUAUUCGGAAAAGAGGAAGCCACCGCCAGACGGACCGACGGCGGAGCUCCAACCUCUUCCCGUCUCUCUCUCCUUCUCUCUUGGAAACCCUACCUCUCCAAGAAAUCCUAUACCUCGCCUCCCUUGCUCCUGUCCCCGUCCGCUGUAGAUCGGCGGACCCUUCGCUCGCUCCUCGAUCGCUUGCCCGAAGCCGAGGCCGCUCCGGUCGCGUUCUUUCGCCUGGAUUGGAGCCCUGGACCCUAGAUUUUCUCUUCUCGUGGUUUCUUUGGCGAACUGUUGGAUUUCGAAGAGGUUUCGCUCGGUUUUUCCUUCCCUCGGCUUGGUUUGAUCCAUAGCGUGCGGCGGAAGACCUAGAAUUUUAUUGUUUUGUGUGAACUUUAGGAGUUUGGGAGGGAAUUCUGGGGUGUUGAUUGGUUCUUGGUUUGGGAUUAUGGGCAUGUGCUGUCUCUAGUUUUGGUGGUUGAUAUGGGAGAUGUGGUGAGGGUCCGGCUCCAGAUGAGGGAUUGUUUGGUCGGUUAGGGGAGGUGGGUGGUCGAGAGGGGGGAUAUGGAUGAGAGCAGCGGGUCGUUCGUUGCAGUGAGGAGGCUUGAUCAAAGCAGAGGUUGCCACUCGUCGCCUGCUGAGGUCGUCACAGGAUCAACAGCAUGGAUUGGGAGAGGUCUUUCAUGUGUUUGUGCUCAAAGAAGAGAAAGUGAUGCUCGUCUAUCAUUUGACCUCACACCUUCUCAGGAGGAAUGCUUGCAGAGGCUACAAAGCCGCAUACAAGUUGCUUAUGAUGGUUCAAAGAAAGAGCAUCAGGAAGCCUUAAGGGCCCUUUGGUAUGCUGCUUAUCCUGGAGUUGAACUCCGUGGAUUGAUAUCUGAACAAUGGAAGGAAAUGGGCUGGCAAGGAAAAGAUCCAUCUACAGAUUUCCGGGGCGGUGGUUUUAUAUCCUUAGAGAACCUAUUAUUCUUUGCAAAGAACUAUCCUAAAUCUUUCCAGGAUCUUCUCCGAAAGCAGGAGGGUGAUCGAGCCAUGUGGGAGUAUCCUUUUGCUGUUGCUGGCGUGAACAUAACGUUCAUGCUCAUCCAGAUGCUUGAUCUUCCAUGUGCCAAGCCAAGGACGAUGAUGGGAGCAAUUUUCUUAAAGCUAUUCUCAGAAAAUGAGCGAGCUUUUGACUUACUGUACUGUGUAACUUUCAAGCUGAUGGAUCAGCAAUGGCUUGCUAUGCGUGCCUCCUACAUGGACUUCAAUUCAGUUAUGAAAGCGACGCGGCGACAGCUGGAACAAGAGCUACUGCUAGAUGACAUCCAACGCAUUGAAGACAUGCCUUCCUAUAGGCUUCUUACCCGUUAGCAAUCAUCUGUGUUAAUGCUGGUUUUAGUAGCGAAGACAUGUUCAGUUGUUCGUGUUGCAUGUCCCAUGAUACUCUUUCUUCCCAAUGUCAUUGUGGAAUGCCAGUGAUCCUGUUGCUUGCUGAAAUCAUUUACUGACGGAGAAGAGUGGAAACUGAUGGAGCUUUGGCCUGCCUGCGGGUUGGGCGCUUGGCGGUUUGCUUCCGAGUGGAAUCUGAUGGUACCCCAACCGCCGGCCAUUAUCCUUAUCUAAAUAAAAGUAAAAAUGGGAACAGGACACUUCAAAUUGGAAAUGAUCAACCGGAUGUGGAAAAUCUGGUUCGCUUGCGUCACAUGAUAAUUCAGUAAUCAUACUUAACAACAUAUUUUUAUAGCUUUCAAUAACCGUUUUUAUGAAUCC